rnacentral:rRNA from 1 species
UAGGGAAUCUUCGGCAAUGGACGGAAGUCUGACCGAGCAACGCCGCGUGAGUGAAGAAGGUUUUCGGAUCGUAAAGCUCUGUUGUUAGAGAAGAACGUUGGUAGGAGUGGAAAAUCUACCAAGUGACGGUAACUAACCAGAAAGGGACGGCUAACUAGGUGCCAGCAGCCGCGGUAAGACGUAGGUCCCGAGCGUUGUCCGGAUUUAUUGGGCGUAAAGCGAGCGCAGGCGGGUCUUUAAGUCUGAAGUUAAAGGCAGUGGCUUAACCAUUGUACGCUUUGGAAACUGGAGGACUUGAGUGCGGAAGGGGAGAGUGGAAUUCCAUGUGUAGCGGUGAAAUGCGUAGAUAUAUGGAGGAACACCGGUGGCGAAAGCGGCUCUCUGGUCUGUAACUGACGCUGAGGCUCGAAAGCGUGGGGAGCAAACAGG